GUUUUCUUUUCCUCUGUUCUUCUUCCUCCCUUCAGCGCAUCGCCUGCAGCACACACUAGCACCACAAACCAGCACGGCGGAUGAUGCGACGAGCGAGGGAGUUGUAAUGGAGCUUCGGCGGGGGCGUCGCCGCUGUUAUGGAACUUUGCCUCGCUGCGCGGUGCUGGCCAUGGAGCUGCAAUGGAGCCUCGUCGGGCGUCCGUCGGCGCUGCAAUGGAGCGCUCGCCGGCGCUACAAUGGAGCUCUCCCAGCGGUCUCACAACUGCUCACAGGCGCUGCAAUGGAGCGCUUGCCUACGCUGCAGUGGAGCUCUCACCGGCGGUCAUGGAGCUGCAAUGGAGCGCUCACCGGCGGUCUCACUACUGCUCGCUGGCGCUCCGGCGCUGCAAUGGAGCGCUUCAUCAGAGGCCUGGACACUGCUCGCUGGCGCUGCAACGAAGCAUCGCCGGUGUUGUGUUGUAGCAUUGCCGAGCCGCCGGAGCAUCGCCGGAGCUGCAAUGAAGCUUCGCCGGAGGUGCCGCGCAUGCAUGUCCUCUGUGCUGCACUGGAGCGCUGCCGCAGCUGCACUGGAGCGUCGCCGGAGCUGCAAUGAAGCUUCGCCGGAGGUGCCGCGCACGCAUGUCCUCUGUGCUGCAUUGGAGCGCUGCCGGGGCUGCAAUGAAGCUUCGGGAGGUGGCACUCGGUGUUGCCUUGGAGCGCUUGCCGGCGGCUCCGGUGCCGGGGGAGGUCGCAGGCGAAGGUGCCACGGCGGAGGUGCUGCGUUGCUCUGCAUCAUCGACGGUUUUCAGAGGAAGCGUGUCUAAUACUCUGUAUUAGUGAAGGAAGGAUCAGACGGCUCUAAUCAAAUCCUGGGCGGACAAUCGGAUGGCUGUUUAGGCGGCUGAUCUUUUUGCAAAGAUCAGCCGGUUGACGCCUAACACCCGCCAAAGUUAAAUACCUUUUGAAACUUCCGAUGUUCAAACUAAUAAUGCACAUUGAUUUUAGGGGUUCAUUGGGUUCUACUGUAAAUGCAACAUAUCUCAAGUACAGGUUGCUUUAUAAUGAUACACAUUAAUUUCUCCAUAUAUACUACAUUUACAAUAUAUUUUCAGUCUAGCCAGUACUUGGCAGGGAAAGUUUUUCUUGUGUUUUUGGCAAUCAAGCAAUUUCCUUUCGAU
rnacentral:rRNA from 1 species